ACCGAUCAUGAUCACCGCUUGAUCGCAACAAACCAACCGACACACCGAUACCAGUUCAGUGCAAGUUGUCGUCGCUCAGGUUGCUCACCACCGCACCGGAGGGAGCCGUCGAUCAAGAUCAAGUCUGCCCGAUUUGCCGUUAGAUCAACUUAGGGGACAAGUCGCGCAUCACACACACUGAACUAUGGAUAAAAUUUGCCUCAUCUGGGAAAGGUGACAGCCAGCAGCGCCGUUUCCGACUGGUGGAUGCGAAAAACCGUUGGAUUGCCCGUGAAGAAGCGGAGAAAAAUGUAAACAUUAGUGAGUGGCGCCAGUAGCUUAAGGUGAACACGAUGGCCAAAUCUAGCCGUAAUGGCUCCCGAGCAGGGGAAAACGUUGUGUGAUAGUUCGAAAUUCAAAUUUUUCCUGCGCUAGCAGUGAGGAGAGGGUACGACACGCGACCGAAAAGCCGGUGGAAUAAAUUAGCGGAAAAUAUCAAUCCACUUUGUUGUUGUUGCGGGUUUCUAGUGGUGUAGUGGUGUGUUUCGCACAAAGUGGUUAAUUGCGCGUCGUCGAGUGUGUAGGUUAAGGUGAAACUGCCGACAGCGCGAGCGAAAGCGUGCGAGACUGCGCACGUGGUGAGAGUAAAAACCGUUGAUAGAAGCGAGAGAGAGCGCGAAAAAGCCCGAAAGCAAGUGUCAAGAGAGAGGGAGUGCAGUUACCUAAAGUGUGUGUGGUGAAUAAGUCAACCGGAGUAAGGUGGUGAAUUGCGGUUUCGGAGCAAGCACGGGAGAAUCAACAAGCACAAUGAAUCCAUACGCUGAACACAACGUCAUCCGGGCGCCAUCUUUGAAGCGUGGAAAGAACGACGAGGGGCUCAACAAUCGGGUAAGUCUUCGGUGACACCACCACCACCAACUGUACAGAUACGAAACUUCCUUCCCAAAGGGGUCAAUCCAAAUCCGGACCCAAAUCGUAGUAAGUACAUAAACAUCCGUUCCACUGAACCGAAUCGCGUUGGGAGGUAGGGCCCGGUUGACCUUUUCCUCCAAUUACACAAUCGAUUGCGUUUGAUUGCGGACUGUGAUCGUUCGAUUGGAGCUUUUCUGUGGAGAAGAAUGGUACGUACCUACGUACCCGAUGCGGUGCGGUGCUGUGUUGGCACACCUUCUAAAAUAGCUAGUGACGCAUACAGCAUACAGCUAGCAGCAACGUACCAAACCAACCAUAUGUUUAUUUCGAGUUCCAACGACAACUUCCCGAAAUCAGCUGGAGGCAAUCGAGACCGGCCACCACAGUCGGCUGUGAGCGAAUGAACGUUUGCUUCUUGAGUCAUAGGUGGUUCGACGGAGGGAAGCUUUGAGACAAUUCUUCCUACGUUUACUUGCUUGCGGAGAGCUUGCCUUGAUGGAGUACGUUGCGCAGAGUGAGAUCGUAUGGGUGUUUUGCGGACCAACGCGCAAUAUCUGAGAAAAAUGUACAGCAGACAUGGUGUUUGAAACGUCAGCAGAGGCGAAGAAGCAGCUGAUUUUGAACUUGGUGUGUGCUUGUAUUGUUUGGGAGAUAAAUGUUACCUUAGGAGUGAUAUUUUUUUUUAAAUUCAUAAUAACAAAAUGCAUAUUUUAUUGACGUAUGAAAUUGAAGUUUGUAUGGAGCGUAGACUUUGACCAGACGCCCACCCCCCUCCUCCAAAAACUCUACGUGGUUUCUGAUUGGUCACUAAACUUUACGGGCAAACCAACCACAAAUAUCAAAGUCACACCAUAGUUGCAAGAACUGGAAGGAUGUCCUUUACACUUUUACAUUUUUUUCAUUUUUAUUGAUUUGAAAAAAAUAUUUGUUAUCACACUUUCAUUAUGCAUCCAUGAUCCAAUUGUUGAACACUGGCAUAACAUAAAAUGUCCGCAUUUCAAUUACCUUCCGUAAUUCGCGCAGUCGGCCACCACCGCCAGCACCAAGCUAGUGCUGAAUACAAAAUGCGAGAUUUUUUCAACGUGUUAUACAAAAUACAACAGCGUGAUUGCUCGAGGGUUAAGGAGUUCCUAGGGUGUUCCGGAGAUGCUCCAGAGGUGUUGCAGAGGGUUUCAGGAACGUUCCAGGGGUUUUCAAGAUGUUUCAAGGGCAUUCCAGGAGUGUUCCAAAGGGAUUCAGAGGGUUAAGGGGUUCCCAUGGGUAUUUCAGGGCGUUCCAGGGGUUUUCAGGAGAUUCCGAGGCCGUUUCAGGAAUGUCCGUGUUCCAGUGAUUUCCGGGAGUAUUCUAGAAGCUUUUAAAAGCGUUUCAGAAUGUUUAGGUGGUAUCUGGAGUAUUCUAGGGGGUUUCAAGGGGAUUCAGGGGUAUUCCAUGAUAUUUCAGAGGCGUUUCAAAGGGAAUCUCAAGGCGUUUCUGUGGAAUUCCAGUGGUUGUUCUCAGGAGUUUUUGGCGGUUUCAGUUGCGUUCCAGGGUUUGUAUCCCUGAUAUCACCUGAAACCCUAGACAACUUUAAAUCCUUAUGACAAUUCCCUGAAACUUCCUUGAAAUCUUCCUGAGCUGCUCUGAUUUCCUUGGAGCAGUGUUGCAAAAAUUCAUGUUGUUCAUGUAAACACUAGCGACCAAACCUUGCCAGUCAUUUUUGCUUCUUUCUAGUCAUCUUUUAAACUAUUUCAGUCAAUCAAGGCGCACUCAAUUGUAACGUUGUUUUAUCGUGGAUGUGAUGCCUGCGGAGCAACCUAAAACUGAUCUGAAACCUCAUAAAAAGUCCUGAAACACCCUAAAACGAAUUGUAAGCGCCUCUGAAACUCCAUAAAACCCCUAUGAAGUACAAAUGAGAGCCCCGCAAACUUCAAGUUCAAACGAAGCCCCAUCAAAUUUCGCUGAAAUGUCCUGGAACGCCUUGAAACGCCUCUGAAACCUUCGUGAAGCUCACUUGAGAGCUUAUGAAGCCUCAUUAAGCCACUUGAAACUCCCAGAAACGCCCUGAAACACAUGGAAAUAUUUCUGAAACCUCCUUAACCUUUCAGGACGCGCGCCAUCAAGCAACCGAAACUGCAUCGCGCUCGCGCUGUAUACGAUGAGCGAGUUUUUUUGGUAGUGUUGUACUUUUUACAACAGCGCGCGUCCUGAAGGGUUAACCCUUUCGUGACGAACCAGUACACUUGUGCUGUUGAGCGAUAACAGUUUUGUGUAUUUUUUCAUCUGUUUAGUCUUUGUUUUAUGUGGUGUCAAAUGUUCCAAUAAUUUAGCCAUUACUUAUACUUGUAUGUAUGCAAACAAAAUUUUGUUUACGCUGUCUCUGAUAUUUACCACAAUAAUUUAAACAAAAAAUGAACAAAAACCAUAAAACAUGAAGAAGUUUUAUCUGUCGCUUUUUUUUAUUUCCGUUUUAUCUAGUUAGACAAAGUAGACAUCGAAAGUUUGUCUUUCGUGUUCCUUCAAAUUAGGAAAAAUAAUUGUUGUUUUGUGGGAUAUCUAAAAUUUCAGGAGAGCCAAAGUUGAGCCAUUUGUAUGGAGAUUUUGCUUCCUUGCGCUCCGUCCCAAAAGGGUUAAAUCCCCGUGUAGCUUACCUGAAAGCAUGUGAAGCCCUCCUGAAUCCUCCUGAAACCUUCCGAAAGGGGUUUAAACGUCUCGAUACGCCUGUGAAACCCCCGAGAAGAUGUGAAAAACUUGUAGUAAGUUAAAAUUUACAAAUAAAAAUAGAUUCAAAAACAUAUAGCUCACAUGAAAACCUUUGAAGCCCCCUAAAGCCCAACUGAAACCUCCUGAAAGGCCCUGAAACACAUUGGAACGCCUAUGAAGCUCCUUGAAAUCUCCGUGAGGCUUGCCUAAGUCCUAAAACGCUCUGGAACGCAUUGAAACGUUUUGAAAUGCCUCUGAAGCUUGCCUGUUCUACACAAGUCAGCGUGAUGCUGGUAGCUAAAGCCACUUCACUAACACUUAUGGAACUUUUAGUAGAACACUUAUAUUUAAAAAUUAAAAACACUUCACUGUUCACUUUUGCAAAAGAAAAAACUAGAAAUGACUUUUUAUUGAAAAACUAGAAAAAGACGAGCAAAUUCCUUUUAAUUCCACUACUUUGCUCGACACUGAAGAAGUCUGUAAGUCGCAGACGAAAAAGGCCUAUCUGUCCGAAGAUAAGCAAAGUAGUGGAAUUAACAGGAAUUUGCUCGUCCUUUGCUAGUUUUUCUUUAAAAAGUCAUUUUUAGUUUUUUUCUUUUUGCAAAAGUGAACAGUUGAGUGUUUUUAAUUUUUAACUAGUAUUUCAAGCUAUGGCCAAUUUCUGGAAAAUUAGGGAUUUGUUUUCACUCGAGCAUUAAUUGUUCUGGAGCUCAUAAUAUUUUUUUUUGUUAUUUUUACAAAACUUUCGUAAGAAAUCAUAACUAAACUCUUUUGAAACCUACGAACCCUUUUUAGGAUUAAACCAGAAUUUUCUUCAUGACUUCCUUCAUCAUUUUCUCCGGUAGAACAUAAUGGAAAUCCAUUACCAUCGAUAUCACCAUAAAGUCAGUUCUAUAUACUCAUAUCAGUUCUAUAGAAAUAUUAAUUGGUGUAUUUCCGGAAGGAUCCUUGGAAAAAAUCUUAAAGGCAACUUUUUUGAGUUCUGAAACCCCCGUGAAGCUCAGUUGGUUGAGUUCUUGAAGAAACUUUAGGAUUAGUCUAGAACAAUCGUUGGAAGUAAACCUUGAGGUCCUAGACGAAUCUCUGCAGGGAUUCUUGAAAAAAUCAACGAAUAACUUCUUGAAGGAAUUCUUGGAGAAAAACAGAUGAGGAUAUAUUCCUGAAAGAAUCACCGGACGAAUUUCAGAAAGAAUUCCUCUGCAGGAGCAGCAGAGGGUAUUCGUGAAGGAAUUCAUUGAUUCCUGAACAAAUUCGUGGAUGAACUCCGAAAAUAUUUCUGGGUGAUAAUUGUGAAAGAAUUCCUGGUUAACUUUAUGGGGAAUCCCCUGGCUCCUAUAUGCAUCCCACUAAAAUUUUCUUGAAGGAAUUCUAAUACAAAUCGCUGUUGGAAUACAUCUAAAAAUCCUUGAAAUAAUCCAGAAAACGCUUCAGGUAAUCCUGGAGAAAUUCUUGAGUACAUCCCUGGAAAAGAUAAUGGUAGGAUUUCUGAAAUUUCUGAUGUAACCCCUGAGUAAUGUUUUAAAAAGAUCUCGAGCGGAUUUUCUGAAGUGAACACUAGAGGACUUUCUGAAUCUAUCCCUGGAAGUAUUCCUGGAGCAAUCCCUGAACAAAUUUCUCGAGGAAUUCCUGGAGGAACCUCCGGAGGAAUUCCUGGAGAGAUUUUUUAUUCUUCAACCACUUAACCUAAUUUACAGCUCUAUUGUCCACUAGGGCACUGCGUGAGCGAUUCCAAUUGGAAGCUGUACAUAUACUUUGUACAGCGCCUAAAUGUAUUCUAUUCUAAUUGUACUACAUCGAUCUGGUUGCCGUUGCGCUGCUUUCACUUUCUACCCUAUCAUGGUAGAAUGAUGAGCACGAGGAUGUUGAUGUGUGGCUGUUGGUUGUUCCUGUUUCCAGUCCAAUUGGGGGUCCAUAAUAGGUUGCCGUUCGCCAAUGUCCAAGUAUCCGGGUUCAUUUGAGCCUUGGGAUCAGAAGAGGGUCAGUGUCAGCUGCUCUCAGGGGGAAAGAGCAACUGACGAAAGUGCCGGGGCUGGGAUCGAACCCAUGACCAUCUGCUUAUGGAGCAAACGUGUAGCCACUCCGCCACGGGCCCCGGCUUCCUGGAGAGAUUCCUGGAGAAAUUCCUGGAGCAAUCCCUGGUAGAACAACUGAAGGAAUUACUGGACGAAGGCCUGGAGGAAUCCCUAGAGGAAUUCUGAAAGAAAUCCUUGGAGAAAUUUCGGAGGAAAUCUCGUAAGGAACUCCUUGACGAAUUCCUGGAGAAAUUCCUGGAGGAGUUCUUUGAGAAAUCCCUGGAGAAUAUAAUGGAGGAAUCCCUGAAGCAAUUCAUGGAGUAAUCUCUGGAGGAAAUCCUGGGUGAAUGCCUGGAGAAACUUUUGGACAAACUGCUGGCAGAAUCCCAGAAACUUCUAGCAGUUCCUGGUGCAAUUCCUGAAAGAAUUCCUAGAAGAAUCCCUGGAGGAAUUUCUGAAGGAAUAUCUGGAGGAAUCCCUGUCAAAGUUUCUGUAUGAAUUUCUGGUGUGAUUCCUGUAGAAAUUCUGGGGGGAAGAGUUCUGGAAGAAAUCCCAGGAUAAAUUUCAGGAGAAAUUGCUAAAACAAUUCCUGCAGAAAUUCUUAGAGAAAUUUCUGGAGAAAUUUGGUAGAAUUCUUGGAGUAAUUUCUGGAGGAAUCCUAGGAGGGAAUCUUGAGGGAAUCCCUGGAGCAAUUCCUGUAGGAACCUGUGGAGGAAUUGCUGGUAAAUUCCUGAAAGAAUUUUUAGGCGAAUUCUGGAGGCAUUCUUGAAGGAAUUUCUGAAGCAAUUCUGAAAGAAAGCCUAAAUGAAACCCUAUAGGAGUCCCUGGCAGAAUUGCAGGCGAAAUCGCAAGGGGAAUCCCUAGAUCAAUCCCUGGAGCAAUUCUUGGAGAAGAAGUUUCUCGAAAAAAUACCAUCAGGAUUCCUGGAGAAAUUCCUGGAAGAAUUUCAGAAGGAAUCCCUGGAGAAUUUCUGGAGAAGUGAAGAGUUCUAGAGGAAUUACUGUAGGAAUUUCUGAAGGAAUUCCUGGAGUGAUACUGGGAAAAACUUGGAAAUUAUAAGACACAGAAUGUUGAUUAAAUGACAACUUGAGGUAUGAAAUUGUGAAAAACCAACUAAGUCAAAGAACGCGAUUUUUGUCACAAUUUCAUACCUCAAUUUGCUAAUUUAUCAACAUUUUCUGUUUUCUAAUUUUCAAGUUUUUCCCAGUACGUUAAGUCGUACCAGCAAAUUGGUACAAGCCAGUAAAGGGCAACAUAGCCAUAUGUAUCCUGGAGGAAUUCAUCAAUAAUAUUCUGGGGUAAUUCCUGGAGGAAUUCUUAGUGGAAUUCCUGCAGCAGGCCAUGGAAAAAUUUCUGGAUGAAAUCUUGGAGGAAUCCCUGAAGGAAUACCUUAAGCUAUCUCUGGAGGAAUUUUUGGAGAAUUCCUAGAGGAAUACCUAGAUAAAUUCGAUGAUGAAAUUAUGGGAAAAUUUCUGAUUGAAUCCCUGGAGGAUUCCUUGGAGAAAUUUCUGGAGAAGAUAUUCCGAAGGAAUUCCUGGAUAAAUUCAUGAAAGAAUUCCUGUAGGAGUGCCUUAAGAAAUUCCUGGAUAAAAACUUGGUGGAUUGCCUGGAACAAUGCAUACAAUCCCUGGAGCAAUUCUUGGAGGAAUCUCUCGAGAAAUUCUUGAAGAAAUCCCUGGAGUUAUUUCAGGAGGAAUUCCUUGAAGAAUGCCUGUAGGAAUUCCUUGAGGAAUCUCUAUUGGAAUUCUUAAAAGAAUCUCUAGAGGCAUUUUUGUAGGAAUCCCUGCAGAAAUUCCUGGAAGAAUCUUAAAGGAAUGCCUGCAGGAAUUCCCAGAUAAAUCCCUGAAAUUACUCCCGAAGUAAUAUUUGGAGGAUUCCCUAGAUGAGUUCCUGGAAGAAUUACUAGACGAGGGAUUUCUAGGAAACUUUAGGAAAUCCAAGGAGAGCUAUUUUAACGAAUUCCUGGAAAAAUUUCUGUUGAGAUCCCUGGAAGAAGUCUGAAAGAAUCCGUGUCUCAUUUCGGGAUAAACCUGCCUGCGGCAGAAAAUCCCUAAAUAAAAAAGAAAAAAAAAAUAAUCCCUGCCUGUAGUAGACGUCCAGGGAGGAACUCACAAAGGUUUUUUUUUGAAGAUGUCCCUUGAGGAAUUCUUGAAGAAAUCACUGGAUGAUUUUCAGAAGGUAUUCCUGGAGAAAUUAUUAAAUAGAUCCCAGGUUUUUUUUAAUCUUAGCAUGACGUUUGUUUGAAUAGUAAACUAGUGAAAAUUUUGGAAUUUGAGCCUGUUGCAUAUUUGGAAAAAAAUUAUAAUAAAAUUGAAGUAGUUCUCUUACUUGGAGAAAUUUCUUGUGAUUUUCGAGAAAAAAAGUUCAAUGAUUGUGGAUAAACUCCUAAAUUAAAAAAAAUAAAACUAGAAUAAAAAAGUUAAUUUCUGGAGAGAUUAUUGAGACAAUAUUGAGUUGGUUUAACUC